UACAGAGGUGGCAAGCGUUGUUCGGAAUUACUGGGCGUAAAGGGCGCGUAGGCGGCCCACUAAGUCAGACGUGAAAUCCCCCGGCUUAACCUGGGAACUGCGUCUGAUACUGGAGGGCUUGAGUAUGGGAGAGGGAUGUAGAAUUCCAGGUGUAGCGGUGAAAUGCGUAGAUAUCUGGAGGAAUACCGGUGGCGAAGGCGGCAUCCUGGACCAUUACUGACGCUGAGGCGCGAAAGCGUGGGGAGCGAACAGG
rnacentral:rRNA from 1 species